rnacentral:lncRNA from 1 species
UUAAGGAACAUGAUUGCUACUGCAUGAAAUGAGUUCUAAGCAUGGAUUCUAUUGUGCAAGUAGGAAUGUAAACCUAGUAACAUGUUUUCUAACCUUUUAAUAACUAAAGCAUGCAUAUUUCCCAGCCCUUUCACUAGCCCCGUACUUCUUUACAAAUUAUUACAGACCAAAUGAUUGAUUACAAAAAGAAGAAAUUACAACCAUAGGAAUCCUGAUCUUGACUUCCUCUCUGAGAUAUGCAAUGAACCAUAUCAAUGCCAAUGAUAUUCCAACGCCUUUCUCAUAUUUGGAUGUGUCAAAGUUUCCUAAGGACCUCAAGGGAUCUCGGGCAGUGCUCACACCCAGAUUUGCAUAACUAAACAGAAUGAGUACAGUAUGGAAGGGCCAACACUUAUGUGUCCAAGUUCAGAGGGAGAUCAAGGAUCCCAAGGCAAGGCUCACACAAGAGAAGUAGAACCUAGAUUCUAAGAAUAUAGUGGAAGUGCAGAAUAGAUGGAGAAAGAGAUUUUAUUUAAAAAGCUAGACUGAUAAUGCAUUUCUGAAAGCAAUUAGUAACAGAGGUGAUGGAAAGCUGUUGCAUUAGUAAAACUGAAAACUACACAGAAUCAGUAGUCAUAUAAAGGGUCAAGGGAUUUUGGGGAUACAUUUGUAAGCACAUGACCCCAGCACGGGUUUAUUCUGGUCAUGCACAACAAUAGCUGAUGCUGGCAUAGCCAUAAACCAACCAAAGGAACACAGACACAUAGAGGGGAUAUGAGGGUUUGGGCUUCAUAAGAUAGCAAGUACACAACAAGUGGCUGAUAGUGUAUGCUUCAAAAUACACAUAGGGAAGCAUUAAUCUAAGGGAGGGUACAUGUUACAUCAUGCUAGUAAAUGUAAUUGGACUGCAGAGCCAUAAUAGAAGCAGACAAGAAUAAGGGAAAUUGAAACAAUUAAAGAAACAUGUCGUUGAGGCUAAAAAAUUAACUAGGACAUUCCAGUAGAGAAGCCAAGUGCAGAAAAGAAGAGUAAGAAGGAUUCCACAAUCUAGCCUUGGCUUUCAGCCGGCUAGACAAAGCAAUAGCACAAGUAGUAGUAAAGAACGAGAGAGUUUUUGAGUGUAAGUGUGUGUUCUGAACUCAGUUUGUUCUUCUUUUUGAAAGAAGAUAGCGUAGGGUAUUUAUUGUUUUGAAAAUGAGUAGAGGAAUAAGGUAACAAGUAAAGUUUUAACACAAACAUGCAAAUAAUCACAAUCAAAAUCAAUUAACACAAGCGAUUCCCUUUAAUUAAGGAAUCACAGCUAAUACUAAUAGGUUUAAUUAAGGAAAAAAUUUGUUUUGGGACAGAUUGAUUAUUUCCAUAUAAGGGGACAGUAAAAGUAUGAAGUAAAUAACUGAUUCUAAGUACAAAAAUAUGCUUAAUUUUGGAAAAGAAUUCAAGAUAAAACAUCACAGUAAUUAAAGUAGGGGAAUCAACCAAUUUAAACGAACGAAUAAAAUUAGGGCUCAUAAGAAAACCUUUUGCAAUUAGUCGCAACAUUGAGGGAGCCAGAAUCAAUCAAGAAGGAUCAUGAUUCUGCACCUCAACAUAUAAAUAGAAAGGAAUGAACAGACAUGCAGGGUCAAAAAAGUUGACAAAAAAAAAAAAGCAAACAAACAUACAGUAGCGUUGGGGUAAGCCAGGAUUCAGUAGUAAAAGAGAAUUAUUCGAAACACAAUAGUCAAGUUGUCACAUAGAACCAAAGUGCAGAGAACCAAAUUAACAGGUAAGAGAGUCAGAAACAAGUAAAGGUCUCACAGUAACAAGUGAGGAAAACCUUUUAAGAAAUUAGGGUUUCAAUAAUAGUCGAGUUUAAAAGAUGAUAAGAACUCAGAAUCUGAUAAGUCAAAUAAGGAAAAGAACUUAAUCGAACAAGUAUACACUCAAACAAACAAGGAUAGUUUUAGAAACCGGAAAAGACCAAAACGACCUAGGAUUUUCAACAUGCUGAAUCAGGUAGAAGGAAGGCAUAAACAAGUCAUUUGAACAUAGUGAAAUCAUAAACGACACUGAAAAUUGAAGGAGAGAUCUUAAAAAAAGAGUUUUAGAAAUCCUAAUCGUUGAACAAAAAUCAAAGAACCUUCGAGAAAACACUUAAGAAGUUCGUAAUAAGCACAAAUCUAAGAUAGAUCUGAAAGAAAAUCAAAAGACCUUAAAGAUAGGGUUUCGAAGAACCCAGAAAAGGUGAGAGAGGCCUUAAAAAGUUACCGAUCUAGCUUGAAAAAGUUAAGGAUCUGACUUGAACGGUCAUGGAUGGCCAGAGAAAAACUAGAGAUAGAGGUUGACCAAGGACUGGACUAGAUCUCUUCAAGAUCUGGAAUGGGCCAUCAGGAGAUGUAGGAGGCUGGUAUACAUCUUAAACUUAUCAAAAGACCAUAGUUUAGGUGGAUUAGGGUGGCGGCGACUAGGUUUUAUGUGAGGUUGCAGAGAGAAUUGAGAGAAGAGGGAUUCAAGGGCGGCGUUUAGUGAAAAUGAAUUAGG